CCUACGGGAGGCAGCAGUGGGGAAUUUUGGACAAUGGGGGCAAUCCCUGAUCCAGCAAUGCCGCGUGUGUGAAGAAGGCCCUCGGGUUGUAAAGCACUUUUGUCAGGAAAGAAAUCUACAAGCUCUAAUA
rnacentral:rRNA from 1 species